rnacentral:rRNA from 1 species
UACGUAGGGCGCAAGCGUUGUCCGGAAUUAUUGGGCGUAAAGAGCUCGUAGGCGGUUUGUCGCGUCUGCUGUGAAAACCUAAGGCUCAACCUUGGGCUUGCAGUGGGUACGGGCAGACUAGAGUGUGGUAGGGGAGACUGGAAUUCCUGGUGUAGCGGUGAAAUGCGCAGAUAUCAGGAGGAACACCGAUGGCGAAGGCAGGUCUCUGGGCCACUACUGACGCUGAGAAGCGAAAGCAUGGGGAGCGAACAGG